rnacentral:rRNA from 1 species
UACGAAGGGGGCUAGCGUUGCUCGGAAUUACUGGGCGUAAAGGGCGCGUAGGCGGAUAUUUAAGUUGGGGGUGAAAUCCCGGGGCUCAACCUCGGAAUUGCCUUCAAAACUGGAUAUCUUGAGUUCGGGAGAGGUGAGUGGAACUCCGAGUGUAGAGGUGAAAUUCGUAGAUAUUGGGAAGAACACCGGUGGCGAAGGCGGCGACCUGGUCCGAUACUGACGCUGAGGCGCGAAAGCGUGGGGAACAAACAGG